rnacentral:rRNA from 1 species
GAUGAACGCUGGCGGUGUGCCUAAUACAUGCAAGUCGAACGGGCUCUUCGGAGCUAGUGGCGGACGGGUGAGUAACACGUUGGUACCUACCCCUAAGUGGGGAAUAACUGCCCGAAAGGGUGGCUAAUACCGCAUAAUCCCGCAAGGGUAAAGCAGUAAUGCGCUUAGGGAGGGGCCUGCGUCUGAUUAGCUAGUUGGUGAGGUAAUUGCUCACCAAGGCGACGAUCAGUAGCNGGAUCGAGAGGUUGACCAGCCACACUGGGACUGAGAUACGGCCCAGACUCCUACGGGAGGCAGCAGUAAGGAAUCUUCCACAAUGGACGAAAGUCUGAUGGAGCAACACCGCGUGCAGGAUGACGG